UACGAAGGGGCUAGCGUUGCUCGGAAUUACUGGGCGUAAAGCGCACGUAGGCGGAUUGUUAAGUCGGGGGUGAAAUCCUGGAGCUCAACUCCAGAACUGCCUUCGAUACUGGCGAUCUCGAGUUCGGGAGAGGUGAGUGGAACUGCGAGUGUAAGAGGUGAAAUUCGUAGAUAUUCGCAAGAACACCAGUGGCGAAGGCGGCUCACUGGCCCGGUACUGACGCUGAGGUGCGAAAGCGUGGGGAGCAAACAGG
rnacentral:rRNA from 1 species